GACGAACGCUGGCGGCGCGCUUAACACAUGCAAGUCGAGCGAAGCGGCGGACGGGUGAGUAACACGUGAGUAACCUGCCUUAGACAUUGGGAUAGCCUCGGGAAACCGGGAUUAAUACCAAAUGGUCUAAGAUGGACUCGCGUCCCAUUAGCUGGUUGGUGAGGUAACGGCCCACCAAGGCGACGAUGGGUAGCCGGGAUGGGAGGGUAGACGGACACAUUGGAGCUGAGCAGCGGUCGGAACUCUGCGGGAGGCAGCAGUGGGGGAUAUUGCACAAUGGAGGGAACUCUGAUGCAGCGACGCCGGGUGAGCGAAGAAGGCUUUCGAGACGUAAAGUUCUUUUAUAUGGGAAGCGGUACCAUAAGAAAAAGCCCCGGCUAACUACGUGCCAGCAGCCGCGGUAAUAC
rnacentral:rRNA from 1 species